AUAAAGUCGAAAUUUUUAUGUGAAUGGAUUACGUUUUUUCUUGCAAAUUCUCAAAGUAAAUUCAUCAUACAUAUUAAAAAUGAAAAAAAAAAAAAUUAUUUAGCUUCCCUGAAGAUUUUGGCGAGCUUUUGAAAGUGAACAAUCGAUCAGCUGAUUGUGGGAAAAAAAAUUGGCGCCAAAUUACUUGUUUACAUUUUUACGUGGCGAUCGAGUAAAUUUGCUCAAAUAAAUUCGGCUAAAAAUGGAAAAUGAAGAUAAAGAAAAUUUAACUGCGUCCCCUGUGUUUCGUAGAAUAUAACAAAUGAACUGAGUUCUGCUGAGAAAAACUAACUAUGAAAGUUCGAGUUUUUGCAUAGCGAUCUCAUCGAUAUUUGGCGCAACAACAAUCGACAAAAAAAAUCUGUCUCACAUUGGAUUUACAGUAAAAUCAAUAACAACCAUUUGGAAAAUGAAAAAAAAGAGAAAUAGAUAAAAAAAUCAGUAAUUUUGAAUCCUUCAUUAAAAGAAACCUUCUGAAGUGCAACAAAAUGAUGGAACGGUUUAUGACCACCCAUGCUAAAUGGAUGGCUUCUAAAAUAACAAUUAUUGUUGAUGAAAAUUGUAAGACACCAAAGAAAAUGGGACGUCCAACAUUACAUUAUACAAAUGCAGGGACAAGAUUAAAAAGGAAACUGGCGUCUGAUCUUGCAAAUAAUAAUAAUAAUAACACGAAUCUUCUUAUGCAUGCUGCGGCAGUUUCUGCUAAGAAAGAACGAAAGACCGACGUGGCUUUUGUCAAUUAGAACACCUGAAUACCCGACUGAAUCGAAAAAGCAUCUUCAAUUGCAAAAGCCCAUUCCACUUUCACCAGAUGAAGCUUUAGCUUACCUCCUGGAAAAUUCACUCAACAAACCGCAGUAUACAAACACUAGGCUUUUAAAUAAAAGGCAUAACUGCGACAUUUAUCCUAGCUAUAAUAAAGUAAUGGAAGCUAAAUUACAGUGCCGACCAGAGUGCAUA